CUGCACUAGGCAGUCGCUGGCGCAAGCCAGAGGAAAGUCCGGACACGCGUGAUUCAGUUCAAAAGGUAGCGGGUAACGCCCGCCGGGGUAAUCCCAGGGAUGCGAACAGAGACGUCCGAGCAGAGAUGCGAGGAGAUCCGUCAGGAUCAAUCGAUAUGGAGACAUAUCGGGUGCAACGGCAAAAUUCCUACCUGCGUGCAAGGUCGUGUCACCGAAAGGUGAAGAACCGCUUGAGGUGAAUGGCAACAUUCAUCCCAGAUAAAUGACUGUCCCCGACAGAAUCCGGCUUACGGUGCAGCGCA
rnacentral:RNase_P_RNA from 2 species